UGCCAGCAGCCGCGGUAAUACGUAGGUGGCGAGCGUUAUCCGGAUUCAUUGGGCGUAAAGAGCGCGUAGGUGGUCCUUCAAGUUAGAUGUUAAAUUUCCCGGCUUAACCGGGAACGGUCAUCUAAUACUGCUGGACUCGAGGAUGGUAGAGGGAGGUGGAAUUCCCGGUGUAGUGGUGAAAUGCGUAGAUAUCGGGAGGAACACCAGUGGCGAAAGCGGCCUCCUGGGCCAUUCCUGACACUGAGGCGCGAAAGCGUGGGGAGCGAACAGGAUCAGAUACCCUGGUAGUCCACGCCCUAAACUGUGGAAACUAGGUACAGGGAGUAUCGACCCUUCCUGCGCCGUAGCUAACGCGUUAAGUUUCCCGCCUGGGGACUACGGUCGCAAGACUAAAACUCAAAGGAAUUGACGGGGGCCCGCACA
rnacentral:rRNA from 1 species